rnacentral:lncRNA from 12 species
CAGAGGGUGGAACAAGAUGAGCUUUAAGGCCCCUUUCAAUCCAAACCAUUCCAUGCUUCCAUGCUUCCAUGAUUCCAUGCUUCCAUGCCUUCCAUGAUUCCAUGAGUCCAUGAUUCUAUGAUUCCAUGAUUCCGUGAUUCUAUGAUUCUAUUCCCACAGGGGACAUGGAAUGGUGCCCCAUCAGGCCAGGUAGCCAGUGGGGACUGACUCAUCCCUCUGUGUCCCCCACUGUGGAUCCUGGCUGUCCCUGAGCCCAGCAGCUGGAGGUGCAGGGGGUGUCCACCAUGGGGACACACAGGUGCUCCAUGCCAGGACAGAGCCUGGCAACUGCUCCAGGCAAUGGAGGAUGGCACUGGUGCGGUGGGUGAGGGGCAGGAGAAGCUGUUGGGACCACUGUGUCACUGAGGCAGCGUUUGGAGGUGUCCAGGUCACCGUGACAACCGAGCACCAACAGCAGAGCAGGGGUCAUGGAGGAGCAGGGCCAAACACGGCCUCGUGUCACCAUCUUCCCACCGCCCCAGAGCCGGCAGAGCAGCAGGCCCCGAGCAGCCCUGCAGAUUGGGACCUUGACUUGGAUUACCCCCUGCCCACCUCCAGCGGCCUCACCAGUGCCCAUGAGCUGCAGCUCCUGGAGGAGAAGAUAAAAAGCUUUGAUGAGGCCAAAAAGAAAAUCCAUCGUCUGCACAAACAAUUACAGCAGCAGUUUUUGAAAGAACAGGAGAGAAAGAUGAUGUUGAGGAAGAAGAAGGCCGAACAGUUUAAAAAGGCCCUGGAAGCGUUCGAUCGCAGGAAUGCCAAGGUGCCAGGUGCCAGCACCCCUCUGCCUGCGGACGAGGCGGAGCCCGAGGAACAGGCAGGAGCUGCCGAGAAAAAAAGCAACCAAGAGACGCGUCCAGAGAGCUCCUCCUGCAGGAGCCGGGCUUACAGCACAUAGAGGCUUUAGGAAGUCAACGCUCCUUUUACAGCAAUAAAUCAGGGCAAUCCCUCUGGUGUCGCUGCCUUUAAAUC